UACGUAGGGGGCAAGCGGUUAUCCGGAUUUACUGGGUGUAAAGGGAGCGCAGACGGCCAAGCAAGUCUGAAGUGAAAUGCAUGGGCUCAACCCAUGAAUUGCUUUGGAAACUGUUAGGCCUUUGAGUCGCUCGGAGAGGUAAGCGGAAUUCCUAGUGUAAGCUGGUGAAAUGCGUAGAUAUUAGGAGGAAGGCACCGGAGGCGAAGCCGG
rnacentral:rRNA from 1 species